AGCAAUCUGUUUAACGGUCCUCUGGGGGCUUCUGAUGCAUGCUAAAGUUUGCUUUAGGCAAAGGAAUGAGUCUCUCCUGGGGCAAUUUUCAGAACUCAGGGCAAUUUCAGGGCUGCUUUUCCUCGGAUUCCUCAAACAGCCUGUGCUGCCCUGAGAGAUCACUUUGUGGCCCCGCAAAUGGAGGGCCACUGAGAGGAACAGAGCCAAGGCCUCAGUGAUCAGCACCAGGCUGAGUGCUCAGUACAUCUGCGAUGAUCCAUUGUUGAUGGAAGAAAGUCGACCUACCUCUAACCCCACUUCCUGCCCACAGAGGGGCGUGGAACAAGGGAAGGUGGAAUUGCCAGGUGUGUGUCAUGGAGUGGGUUGGACAGGGGGGCAUACUGUACUUGCCUCUCAUGAAACCUUAGCACUCCUUAAUUGGAAUGGCUAGAUUUGGAGAUACAUAAAUAUGGAAUUGAAGCAUAUGUAUGUCAUAUUUUGUUAAACUGGAAAAUUCCACAGGAAAACUGUAGGCAUAAAAUCCAGCUACUGCAUUCAGACACCACAAUGGUCAAAGGCAGCUGGGAGGCAAAAGUGACUGGCCUACUGUGGUUGGUGUCAGCAAGGAGGACAAAGACAGUCUGCAGUUAGAUAAAGCGUUUGGGUGAAUCUCCUGGCCGAGUGCUCCUGUGGGGCUUAGAUAACGCUGAUGAAUAUGUGCGUUUUGAAAUGAUCGGGAGUCAGUCUGAUAAUCUAUCACAUAUAAAGAUGCCUUUGGGGGCAACUAACCCGUUCUCUACUGUUGUGAAGUCCAACCCUUUAUGAGGAGGAGGACCUGGCAACAUCCCCACAGUCUUUAUCGCUAUCAGCCAUCAUCAUUGCCAGGGUGAGUUACUGACAUGCCUGCCUACGUAUGGUGAUGGAUAAAGCUCUGUCUAGAACAUGACCCAAGUCCUCCUUGCUGCCCUCAAUGGCUUUGUGGUCCAUUCCAUUUCAGCUGCGCGCUAGGAGACUACACAGGGCAGUGGACCAAGCACAGCUUCCACAGUCCGGCAAACAUGGGUAGGGAUCCUGACUCUGCCCCUUAGAAACUUUCUGGCUUUCAGGAAAUUACUUACCUUCUCUAAGUUUUAGAUUUUCAUCUGUAAGAGGAGUUGUCAGUAAUAUCUCUUUCUCAGAGUUGUUGUGAGAUAUAAUGAGAUAUCCACUAUUAAAUAUUUGUAUUAGCAAAUCUUAAGU
rnacentral:lncRNA from 1 species